rnacentral:rRNA from 1 species
AUGAUAGUGGCAAGAAGGAAAAAUUCAUGCAAGAUAAGGCACAAUUGCACAAGACAUGUCCUACAUAAAGGUGGCCAUUUCCACUACGAAGCACAAAACCAUACACAUCUAAGCCUCAAAAAGAUACAUCAUUCACCCUCGAGUCAGACAAUGGCUCUUGUUGAUGACGAGCUCAAGGCCAAGGCCGAGGUGUACUACGACGAUGAGAUUUGCAAGCAGUGCACCAGGCUCCUGCUCAAGGAAGCAGGCCUCCCCAACGGCCUGCUUCCCCUGAAGGACAUCGUGGAGUGCGGCUAUGUCGAGGAGACUGGGUAUGUGUGGCUCAAACAAAAGAAGAGGAUAGACCACGUCUUCCAGAGCCUGGGAAGGGUGGUGUCUUAUGGCACUGAGAUCACUGCCUUCGCAGAGAAGGGCAGGAUCAGGAAGGUCAAAGGGAUAAAGACCAGGGAGCUCAUGGUGUGGCUCCCUGUGGAGGAGAUCUCCCUCGACGAACCAGCGACCGGUAAGCUCAUCUGCAAGAGCAUUGCCGGCUUUUCUAAGAUCUUCCCUGCAUCAGCUUUCCACAUCCCAGAGAAGGAGAAUGAGAAGGCCAACUGCGCCGGACCAAAACCAGUGGUCCUCAUGGAGAGGGCAGCACGGGUUGUUAAGAACAACUGA